AUGUUUAUAGGCAUAUUUGCUGUUCUCUUCUCUUUGGUCACAGACACUGUUCUGGGAGUGACACUGGAGCAAAAAGAUCUCUCCAUGACAAAAGAGGAGGGCAAAAGCGUGUAUAUCAGCUGCAAUGUGACCGGAUUAUCCAGUAGCGACUAUGUUCACUGGUACCAAAAGAAAGAAGGUGAAGCUCUCACAAGGAUCCUAUACAUCAAAAGUGGAAGCCAGGAACCUGUUCCUGAUCCUAACUUUUGUGAAGCAAAGAACUUUGGUGUGAGGGUACAGUCUGAUAAUUAUGACCUGAAGAUAGCAAACCUGCAGAAAAGUCACUCUGCAGUUUAUUACUGUGCCGCCUGGGAAAGCACCCACAGUGACACCCCUGAGCCUGUGUGGCGCAAGGGCAAAGUGUCAGUCUCUGACCCCAGAGACCUGAGCUCAAGUCCUGCCCCUCACAGUGCCAAUAGUAUGUGA